GCCCUAUCAACUUGUUGGUAAGGUAGUGGCUUACCAAGGUUGCAACGGGUAACGGGGAAUCAGGGUUCGAUUCCGGAGAGGGAGCCUGAGAAACGGCUACCACAUCCAAGGGAGGCAGCAGGCGCGUAAAUUACCCAAUCCAGACAAUGGGAGGUGGUGACCAGAAGUACUGGGUGGUAGAUAAUAUCUACUAAUCCCGGAAUGAGCAUAAAGUAAAAAGUUAGUCGAGUAACAACUGGAGGGCAAGUCUGGUGCCAGCAGCCGCGGUAAUUCCAGCUCCAGUAGCAUGUCGUAAAGUUGUUGCGUUUAAAACGCUCGUAGUUGGAUCAUACAGUAUCGGCUAGUUAGUCGGUGGUUGUAAGCAACCAAACCUUAUUGGCCGGACGGCUUCAGUUAAUUCGGGGGCCCCCGGUCACAUAAGGAGUUUACAAUGCCGAUUGUUCGCUAGCCGGUACUAUUUGCAUGUAAGAAUGGCGGUUGGCCUUUAGUGCGUUGGCCGUUGUGUCUUACAGAGUGUGCCUUGAAUAAAUCAAAGUGCUCAAAGCAGGCUCUUGCCUGAAUGAUACAGCAUGGAACGAACAAUCGUGUAACGUGGGUUCGGGACCAGUUAACCCUGGACCUAAACCCACAUCACCAACCACCAUGUACGGAUGUUGGUUUCCGUAUUGGGGUGAUGAUUAAAACGAGCGGUUGGGGGCAUUGGUAUUUGGCAGCGAGAGGUGAAAUUCUUGGACCGGCCAAGGACUAACAAAAGCGAAGGCAUUUGCCAAGACCGUCUCGAUUGAUCAAGAACGAUAGUGAGAGGUUCGAAGACGAUCAGAUACCGUCCUAGUUCUCACCGUAAACUAUGCCAACCCGGAAUCAGUUUAGAGCAAAUGUAACGCUCAAGGUUGGUUCCCCUGGGAAACCUCAAGUUUUUGGGUUACGGGGGGAGUAUGGUCGCAAGGCUGAAACUUAAAGGAAUUGACGGAAGGGCACCACCAGGGGUGGAGCCUGCGGCUUAAUUUGACUCAACACGGGACAACUCACCCGGCCAGGACGUCGAUAGGAUUGACAGACUUUCGAUCUUUCAUGAUCCGAUGUGUGGUGGUGCAUGGCCGUUCUUAGUUCGUGAAGCGAUUUGUCAGGUUUAUUCCGGUAACGAACGAGACCAAAAUCUCCAUUUACGAUGCAGAAUAGUCGGUUCUCGGACCGGCUCUAGUUGGAGUUUUUGAGUGAACAGCCUUGGCUGUGAUCUUGAUGGCUACGACUAUCCUUCUGCAAUGUUGUAUGUGGAAACACGUGCAGCUGCAUGGAGAGACAACUGACAAUAAUUAUAAAAUCAGAGGAGGAUUGGCAAUAACAGGUCUGUGAUGCCCUUAGAUGUUCGGGGCUGCACGCGCGCUACAAUGAUGGUGACAACGAGAUAUCUGGUCCGAAAGGACUGGGAAAUCUGUAAAUCACCAUCGUGAUGGGGAUUGCUCAUUGUAAUUUGGGCAUGAAAUAGGAAUCCCUUGUACGUGCACUUCAUUUAAAGUGCGUGGAAUGAGUCCCUGCCCUUUGUACACACCGCCCGUCGCUACUACCGAGUGAAUGGUGUCAUGAUGCGUUG
rnacentral:rRNA from 1 species